AUAGCCGAGAGCGAGAGAGAGAUCACAAGAGACAAAACCUAUGUUGCACGGACACGCCAAAUUUGGCCAAGUACUUGUGUUGGACACGUGUCGGACACGGGUACUGGUAAGAUACAGCUAAAAAACGUACCUAGUGCGUACUUGGAGAUUAAAAAAAAAAAUUAGCCAAUGUAUGUCCUGGACACGGGAUAGUGAAAAAAAAAACUGGAUUUUUACCCCUGGACCAUUACUGACCAUCGAUCAAACGAAAAGCCUUCAGCCUUCUCUCACUCUCUUAGCCUCCCUCUCGCGUUUCCCUCGCGGUUUGUCCUCUUGCAUAGAUUGGCGACCAACGAAGCACCUCCGAUGUAGAUCGACGACGAAUGAAGCCCCUCCGAUGUCACUAAGGCUCUGCCGGAUAUACAAAGGAAAGGAGCAGCAUUAUGGUCAUAGGUUAAUGUUCACACUGCACCAGUUGAGAUACGUGAAAAUCUAGCCAUCCCAGAAGCACAGUGGCCGCAAGCAAUUAGUGAGCUCUGUGCUAUUAAACACAUCGAACAAGCUGCUGUUCUUAGUACAUGUAACCGAAUUCGUGGCUUUGUCUUGGUGUCAUGGUCUAAGAAGUUACUGAAUGGAUGUCAGGUAAUUUGUUGGAUUCAUUUUCAGGUAGAGCCCUGAGCUGGGCCAGCCAACUUAUGCUAGGUUUGGAAGUUUGGAGAGAGAGGAGAGUAGAAGAGACUAAUUAUCUCAUAUCUUGUUUGAAAGUUUUUAAAAUUAAAGGAGAAGGGAAUAAUUAGACUUCAUUUUGUAAUUGCUAUAAAUUGUGAAGGGUACAAUAGGUAAGUCAAAAUGUUUAAUUAGUUCUACAAUCACCCUACUCCUUUACCAAAUCUCUUCAAUUUGGGGAAUUAAAAAUAAAGGGUUAGAAGUUGUUAAAAUUCCUUCAAAUCCCUCUCUCUUCUCUCUUAAAAACAUCCAAAUAAGAUAAAUUAAAUCAUCUCUCUUUCCCCUCUACUCCCCCUCAAUCCAAACAUAGCAUCAAUCUAAUUUUAGGUGCAUAUAUGUUAAGUGUUUGUUUAGGAAUAACUUAUCUAGUUUUUUGUUGAAAACUUUUUGUUGAAAAUGUGCUAAAGUAUAUUAGUACUUUGAAAAAAAAAUUGAAAAAGUGAGAUAAAGCAAAAAAAAGUGAGUUUUUAAAAAGGCUACAUAAAAAUCGAAAUCUAUAAGGUAAAAGUUUUAAGCAAAUGUAAAAGAUGCUCCAAGUGGACAGGAAUUUGCAUUGUGAGUUUAUUAUUAUUAUAAUAUAUAUAUAUAUAUAUAUAUAUAUUUUUGUCUCUGUUGCGGACUUGGAGUAGUUGGUCCUCUGUUCUCCUCUUUGCCACAGCCCUCGUUAUGCCGGCUUGAUUUGCCUUGUUGGGCUUUGUGUUGUGUUUUGGGCCAUGCUGUACAUGUUUUAUUAGUAUUCAAAUCUGGGCCUUCAGACUUGGGCCUCUUAAGGCCCUUAGAAAAAUGGGUCACGAACAAAAUGUUUUCCCCCUUUCUGUCUGUUAAUACCUAAUGUUUACUGAACUUUUAUUUUCUUUAUUCUUUACCAUUAUUUUAUACUUUUAUCAUUACGGGAGUAAAAAGCUAGAGCAUUAUUAAAGAUGGAUUUUUCCACCGAACUUAAAGGGAUUUAAAAAGUGGGUGCAUUAUCAAUCAUCCUCUGUGCAUGUCGGGUCAACUGUCCAGCUUUGCUAGGACUACACGGUCAUUUUAUCAUUGAUGUAAAUGCUAAUUCAAUGAAAUAACUGUCCAAAUGUGCUUAUAAAAGUAGGAAAUUGGUCACUCAUUUUUGCUUAAACUUGAUUCUGAAAAAAUAUUAAACUUUGUUGGUUAGAAUUCCCCAAUUGUAUCUUGAUAUCUCGAUUGUGUUUGUUUGAGAGAUGUUGCCAUAUGAGUUAUGCCACAGAAUUUUAAUUGCUUUGAAAGCAGCCGUGGGAUGGUUUUGGGGAGAAAUGUUACGUCAGCAGAAUAAUGAAAGGCCUUCGUUAUCCUGCAGCUAUGCCCCGAUAAUUUCCGACUCUAUAGACUUGCAGAGUAAUGCUAUCCAGGCGGCUUCUGCUAAUAAUUCUGUUUUUAAUCAAAACCCUAUAUCAGGGCAAGUCACACGAUCGUACGCAGCCAGACAUCCAGCAAGACAAGGCAAUUUCGAAUCUAGUCCAAUGACAUAGCACGGGCCGGAUCGGGUGGGGUUGGAUUCAAAGGUCACCAGAAACCCAAACCCAACCCGUUAAGACCAAGUUUAGUGGAUGAGGAAACCGAACCAGCCUGCAUGGUUUAUGAGAUCAUUGGUCUCUGGUCGGGUUUUUACUCUUUGUUUUUUUUGGGUGUUGGGUCUUUUGGUUUUUUGGAGUUAUUUUCUAUAAUAUUGGCAACCAAAUUUGUGUCCACAUUGAGAACUUGAUCAAUUCUCAAAUAUUUAAGGCACUAUUAUCACUUGCCAAAUUUCAUUCAA